rnacentral:rRNA from 1 species
AGAGUUUGAUCCUGGCUCAGGACGAACGCUGGCGGCGUGCUUCACACAUGCAAGUCGAACGGGGCCCAUCCGGUGGUAACACUGGAGAAGGCCUAGUGGCGAACGGGUGAGUAACACGUGAGGAACCUGCCCCGAAGACCGGGAUAACAGCGGGAAACCGCUGCUAAUACCGGAUGCCCCCACCGGGCCGCAUGACCUGG